rnacentral:misc_RNA from 1 species
CUGAGUGAUUUGGGGCCGCCUGCCUGUGUAGGCGUGCACCGGUUACCCGUCCUCAUGUCAUUAGCACGGACUCGCUUUCUUGCGACUGGCCCCUAGGGUCGGUCUGCGAACUGCGGGGACGAGACCUACAUUUCCGUCGAGGUGGCGCGUGCCUCCUAGAGCCGGGUAACUCUUGGCUCAUUGGGGGCAACCUCAACGCCCGCGGCGGGUAUGCAAAAAUCACUUUUUUUUCCAUACCCUUACGAGAAUGUGAAGUCUGAAGUACUGAAAAAAAAUGAAAUUGAAGCA